GAUGAACGCUGGCGGCGUGCCUAAUACAUGCAAGUCGAGCGAACAGUCGAGGAGCUUGCUCCUCUGACGUUAGCGGCGGACGGGUGCGUAACACGUGGAUAACCUACCUAUAAGACUGGGAUAACUUCGAGAAACCGGAGCUAAUACCGGAUAAUAUAUUGCACCGCAUGGUUCAAUAGUGAAAGACGGUUUUGCUGUCACUUAUAGAUGGAUCCGCGCCGCAUUAGCUAGUUGGUAAGGUAACGGCUUACCAAGGCAACGAUGCGUAGCCGACCUGAGAGGGUGAUCGUCGACACUGGAACUGAGACACGGGCCAGACUCCUACGGGGGGCAGCAGUAGGGAAUCUUCCGAAAUGGGCGAAAGCCAGACGGAGCAACGCCGCGUAAGUGAUGAAGGUCUUCGGAUCGUAAAACUCUGUUAUUAGGGAAGAACAAAUGUGUAAGUAACUAUGCACGUCUUGACUGUACCUAAUCAGAAAGCCACGGCUAACUACGUG
rnacentral:rRNA from 1 species